GGCCAUAGAUUUGCUUCUCAAAACUCUUAGUUGAUGAUCUCGAUCCAACCUUAUCCCGGAUCAACCUUAUGUUAUAUUAUGUCUUUCAUUUCAUGCUUUUGUUUUCAAACUUGUCAUUUGUUUCUAUUUCCAAGAGAGCCGUGUGCCUUUACUCUCUUGAUAGUUUUCGAGAAGCUUGGAGUCUGUUCCAACUUCUCUUAUAUAAGUGUACUUUGAACCCCUUUAUCAAAAAUCAAUUAUCUUUUUAUCAAAACCUUUCUUUGUUCUCUCUACUGCUUGUC
rnacentral:lncRNA from 1 species